rnacentral:tRNA from 1 species
GUUUCUGUAGUGUAGUGGUUAUCGCAUUGGCUUUACACGCAAAAGGUUUCUGGUUCAAAACCAGACAAGAACA